rnacentral:lncRNA from 1 species
CCAAAAUUGCCACUGAUAGUGCAUCCUGCAUUUUUCAAAUUUCAAAUCAAACCCUUCAUCCCAUGCGCAUGAGGUAUCACCUACAUGCAGAGCUCAUACACGCAAUAUCAAGCAUAAUAGAGCACUCCCCUCACCCUAUCCAUUUUUAUAAAGUCAAAGCCCACUCUGGCAUCAUUGGGGACGAGGGGGCUGACGCUUGCGCUCGCACCGCAGCCCUCUCUGACACAGUAGACAUUACACUUCCGGAUGCCAGGGACCCAUUCCACAACUUCUAUUGGCUUUCAUUAAAG